AAUGGAUGUAAACGAUGUAAAGCAUGCUCCCAGGUUAACACUGAUAAGACCACAUCGUUUGCGAGCUUUUCUAUCAAAAUUUUUUCCCCAUUCAAUUUGAGAUUGGCUGUCGCUUGGACUAUGUGGUAUAUUUACUGCAGUGUCCGUGCAGCAGCCAGUGUGUGGGACGUACAAAAAGAUGUUUAAAGGUUAGAUGUUUUAAUAAUACAAAGGAUAUAUUGCUUUAUGUGUAUAAUUUUGGCAGAUGUUUUUCUAAUAGCCCUCUCGCCUAGAUCUUUGUGAAAUUAUUCCCCUGGGUAACAGGAGGGGAAGUUCGGGUUGCUAUAUUUACUAUCAGUAACAUGAAACGAACGGCCAUGUUAGAAGAAUGACGUGGAACGCAAGCCGGACACAGGAUGAACAAGUGACGAACACGGAGGUGAACAAGUCAAUACGGAAGAGGAGCUCUAUCACCCGCAAAGUAGCUACACCUGAAAGAGAAGAACGAGUAAGAAACCACAAGAGGGAAG